rnacentral:lncRNA from 1 species
AUGGCCACAUCGCCGCCGCCUCCGUUCUUCCUGCCGCCGCUCCGGCGAAGCCGUUUUUUCGUCAUCUCGUUGAGCGACCACGCCACGCCUUUGCCGGUUCCUGGAUCGUGGCUAGGCGCAACUGAGGCUCGUGGUACUGGCUGCUCCGCCGUCGACGGCGAGCCUGACAAGGUGGCGGGCCGGCCGAUUUUUGUCGGAAAGCAAGUGGCAGCAUCUGAUUGCAUCGAGUGUUCAAUACGAUUGCUUCGUGUAUUCCCCCUAACACAUACAGGUCAGCAGCAAGGGUGAACUGAAACGC